GGAGUGAUGCCUGAGUGGCCGAAAGGGGCACCCUGCUAAGGUGUUAACUGCGUAUUAGCGGUUCGAGGGUUCGAAUCCCUCUCACUCCGCCC
rnacentral:tRNA from 1 species